UACAGAGGGUGCAAGCGUUAAUCGGAAUUACUGGGCGUAAAGGGCGCGUAGGUGGUUAAUUAAGUCAGAUGUGAAAUCCCUGGGCUUAACCUAGGAAUUGCAUAUGAAACUGAUUGUCUAGAGUCCGGGAGAGGGAAGUGGAAUUUCCGGUGUAGCGGUGAAAUGCGUAGAUAUCGGAAGGAACACCAGUGGCGAAGGCGACUUCCUGGCCCGAUACUGACACUGAGGCGCGAAAGCGUGGGGAGCGAACAGG
rnacentral:rRNA from 1 species